GAAUUCCUGCGGUGUGCGUGGCCAGACCGAUAUGUUUUGAGCCAACAUCAAAACAUAGGGAGCCCGAUCCGAAGUUAAUGGCCGUCCUGCCCCGAAAUCAGGGGACUGCGAAAAUUAGCCGGAGGUACCCACCUGCUUGUCGAGCAGGUUCAAAACGUCGGAAGCAACGGCAUUGCGGGGUGCA
rnacentral:other from 1 species